ensembl:lncRNA
UGUUUAGACCAGAGAGACGACCGUAGAUGAACCAAGUCAUUUCCUUGUUAAAUGAAAUUUAGCGUGUCGUUUUGAGCGGUGCGACGUCAGGGAUCUCCUCCUACAGACGAGUAAGAUUGUGAAGGAUGUCGUCAGCCACGCCGCAUGUGUAAAGACUCUAGCUAGAGUUCAUAGCCGAGUGAGAAACUUAACGUCAUCUUACAAUCAGCGAAAUUCACUGAGGAAGAUGUUCUUGUUCUGUGGCCAGUAAGGUAAGGUUGUCGGCUGGCGAAACGCUGGAUGUGUGUAUUAUCGAAUAAUCUCUUUUUAAUGUCGCAUAAGUGGUCAAUUACAUCACAGCAGGUUUGGUGUUGACAUUACUUGACGAUACUUUGUUAAUUUUAGCUAAGGAUAGCCACGUUGUUACUUAAUGAUGCCUUCGGUUGCUAAGUUGUAGGAAUUCUGACUGUUUGUAGGUUACCUGAAAUGGAGCAUCAAAGUAUUGAGGUAAUUUGCAGGAGUUGUUUUAUAAAUAUCUAUAGCGAUGAAAAUCGUAACAUGACCUAUUUAAGUUAGCCGGUUAGAUUACCCACAUCUAUGGAAAGAUGCUGAUGUGACACCAAGACGCCUGCUUGUUGGCGGCAUGGUUGGUAUGUCGCUAGCCAGCUAGCUAGCUAACGUUUAAUAGUGAAUAAUUUAAGCAGCUAACUCGAGUAACGUUGGAUGACCAUUCCAACUCUAUCAGUUCCGUGGUGAACGUAAGCGGUAUUUGAUGUAAGUGUGAUUCAGAAGGUGGUAUGGUUCAUUAGAUGCGACUAACUAGUAUAAUAAAAGGUUACUUUAACCACCCUCCCACCCAGCUAGCUAGCAGUUGUAGCGUGUGACAUUAAGCGUAAGCCAGAAAGCAUGGUUUCCGAGGAAACCCGAUGUGUGUCAUGUUGCCUCCUCUAAGUUUCCUGUUUUUACUAUUUUCUUGGCCCCGCCACCUCUGCAUAAUGUCACACAUCAAUGGCCAGAUAAACACGCGAAGAGUUAUCGGUUGUCAACAGCUCCAAAGCUGGGCAACUGGAUUAAGCACAGGCAUCAGCUCUUGCCCACCGUGUGCUUUGCGGAUGCUUAGCGGAACUGCUGCGGCUCGUCAUUGACAAGUGACCCUAAAAGUGAAGAUCAGAAAGCUAACUAGUUGUGACCAGGAAUCAGUCACCUUACUUAUAACCCUCGUUCAGAGAGAGAGAGAGAGAGAGAGAGAGCAACGGAAAACUACUAACUUACCGACAUAGUACAAUUAUAGGCUACAUUUGGUUACUAUAAAAUACACACGUAGCCUGCGCAUUCCCCUUUCUUAACAUGUAUUUGCUACAAUGGAUUAAUUUAAUAUAAUAUAAUAUUUGUAUUUCUGUCAAGUCUGUGACGUAUAGCCCAGACAUGAAACUGCAGUCAAGGUGUCAGUUUAUGUAAUGUUGCUGGUAUGAUGUCAAUAUGACUAUUGAAACAUCUUUAAUGGCCAUUUUAGCUGACAAAUGCUUUCCUCACGCGUGAAUCCACACCUAAACUCUUCAUGAGUCGCGGCUGCAGAUCGGGCCGCACAUGAGACACCAGUAGCCUAAACAAGGGCGCCUGAAGGAAAACCAACAGGUGACACAGCCGUCACGCACACGCAAUGCUUAACUAACUAGCGCUUAACUUGCACUUCAGCAGUUACAUUCCUGCAGUUCUUUUUCCUUUCUAGGUCGUUUUUCUAAUUCUUAUGUUAGGUAGUAUUUAUUGUUACACCAUGUUUUUUAUUGUUCUUAGCUUGACUGUUCUCUCCCUUGUACGUCGCUUUGGACAAAAGCGUCUGCUAAAUGACUAAAUGUAAAUGCAAUGCUUGUGGUAUGAAACGGCCCAACGACACGACUCGUGGAACUCCUGCAGAUUAUAAAUCUACCAAAUGAAAUAAAAGUAGAUAUUUUUUUUGUUUGUUAUUAAACUUCAAAGGGUUAUUCGUGAUUGGUUAUGUCUGGUGGCUCUAGUCUAGUGCAAUGUUUUGCAUAUACAGGCGCAAGGCAGGUGGUUUUUACGCAUGGCACAUUUUUUUUUUAUCGGAGCGGGCAAGAGCAGCGCUUAAAAAUCCAUCGCGUCUUAACGUCCACCUGCGGGAUUUUUUUUGGCGGAAGCGGGAAAAACCGUGAAAGAUGUGGGCGGUAGCCGAACCAAAUAGUACAUAGUUUUGCGAGAGCCGACGGGAGAGGGACAAAUUGUUCUGAUCUAGAGUUGACUUUCUACUGAGCAGUUUGAAGAAAAAAAAAACGUUCCCAACGACGCUGAUUCUAGUCAUGAUUAUGAACACAUGUCUCCACGUGCCCCCCGCGUCUCUACGUGCAGUAGAGGUACAAACAGUAGCUGUGAAUAAUUUGACCAACUGUAAGCAUGAAAAAAAAACUACAAUCUAUUUGUUUGAUAGCAACGUGAUUUUUAAGCAGGUUGUAGCUUCCAAAACAGACGGAUUGGGUUGUUUUGUCCCGGUGUGUGUCUUCUAUUGGUUUCCCUAGCAACCAGUGCCAGGUGUCCCCGAACAGACAUCACAAAUCUGAUCGACGGGCAACGUCGUCGGCAGUCCAUCCGGUUUGUCCUAAGUGGAUUUCAGAAGUGAAAUUGAUGACUGAGCUCCUCUGACAUUGUCAUUAGCGAAAAACAGACCCAGUUUGUGAAGGCCAUUUGUUCUGUCAUCUUCUUCCACCCAGACUGUUGCCUGUUCUCAAGAAAAACUGUGGCAUGACCUGGUGGAGGCCACUGGCUGUAGUUUGCAGAGCUAAUGCCCAAAGAUAACGUCCUAGAUAAGAGACAAGGCUGGAAGAAUCUGGUCCGCGUGCGUGCGCCCUC